rnacentral:lncRNA from 1 species
UAUAUUUUGUAAUACCAGAAAAAUAUUAAAAUAAAAUAAAUAAUAAUAAUAAUAAUAAUUUUUUUCCCCUUUUUCUUUCCUUUCCUCCCCCCUUUUCUUCCUCUCCUUCUCUUUUCCCUCACCCUUUUCUCCCCGACGCCGACUGCCCUCUUUCCCCCACUCCCACCUGCGGGUCGAACAGGUUGCCGCCAUCGCCAACAGCGCCUCCUCCCCUCCCUCGCCACCGCACCGCCUUCUUUUCCCCUUUCCUCCCGCUGCCGACGCUGCACGGAGGAGAAGGCAUCCCUCCCCGCUGAAACGAGCCGCUGCUGUCCACCAUUCGCCGUCCGAUGCUGGAUUUGGGUCCCUCACCACCGAAAACCCCUGAAACAAGCCUCCCUCGCCGUUUUCCACCGCCUGCAGUCUCGGAGGAGCUUCGCCGGAGUCGAAACUUUCUAGCUCCGAUCCGGUGCCUUCCAGCUGAAACUCUUGCGUUUUCGGUCUCCCCGCAACUCGAGCUUCGCACAGGCGUUUCUGGAUUCGAAUUCCGAUACUGGUGACACGACCGGCUUCCGGAAUUAAAUGUUUUCCGGACGCGUAAAAUUUUAAAAUUUGGGCUCGGUAUAAUUUUAUUUGGACCUCAAAAAUUAUGUUAUAAUUUUAAAAAAAUAUUGUUGCUAUUAAUUAUCAAUUAUAGAUAAUUUAAAUUUAAUUAAAUUUAGUUAAUUGUGAUCUGUGGUGUGUUAUAAAGUUGGAAAAAAUAAUAUAGUUUUGGUGGUCUGAUUCCUGUUAGUUGGUUUCAGAAUAUUUGAAGUGUUUCAGAAUAUUUGAAGUGUUUCUAAAAGGUUCUGGACUUGUUGUACGAGGGGUAAAUGUCCAUAAUUUAGAGAAAGUUCUACCAAAUUUUCGACAGAACUCUUGAGUCUGAAAUAUUUUUUUGGUUGUCUAAUUUAGGGUUCUAGGCCUAGGGGAAUUUAAGAAUGUCUAUUAACUGACUGUUUUCGUGAAUAUAUAAUCCGUCCAUUCCGCCAGCUCCACCUGAAGCGUAUUAGCGAACUGCGGAGCGCGACAAAACUAUGAGUUAAAGUCAUAUAAUCACUGUACCAUUGGCAAUGUCCAAACUUAACGCAAUGUUCAAUGAUUAAUAUUUAAUAUGGUUAUCAUUAUUGUUAUUAUAGGUAAUUUCAUUUAAUUGAUAAUUAUCAUAAAUAGUAUUGCUAUUAUUAUUAGUAAAUUUAUUUCAUUAUUUUAAAUAUUUUAAUUAAUAUUAUUUUAAUACUAGUAUUACUUAUAAUUGCAUGUUUGCUAAUCUCGAGAUUUUUAAAUUUUUAAUUUUCAAUAUGUUAUUGAAUAAUUUAUGUUGGCCUGUGAUGAUUUUUAUAAAUAUUGUGAUUGUGACAUUAAGAUGAGGCGACAGUAGAACAUGCCAUCUUAUGGGUUACAUCAAGACCGUAUUUAUGCGCACUGAUAAUAAUCAGAGGUACGAAAGUUAUUUUUGGAUUUUGCCUUGGUCGAGUAUAACUUUCUGGGCUAUGAAAGCUUGACUGCCGGAGGAAGGUCCCUAGUCGAGCAAUACUCUCUGUGACGCUGGCUCAAUUAGGAAUCAAGUGUCCAGGCUGGAUGUAAGGAUCCUGGUUGAGCUUCGCUCUCUAGGCGCCAGACCUAUUGGAAUAAGAGAGCCGAAAGGCUACUAGCAUUUAGGGUUAGGGUUCUGCUGAGCCACUCGUCCCAUAAGUCUUUAAAUGUACUUUCUUUCUAAAUUAUAGUAUAUGACUCAUACUUUAAUACAAAACGACAUAUGAUAUACUGAUUUAGUGAUAUUAUAUUGAGGAGACAGCAAUAGUUACAGGGUUAUAUGAUUUUAACUCACUCUCGAGGCUGACAAUCUCAAUUUUAAUUUUUUUUUUCAGGUGACAAUUAGAGUUCUUCGCCG